CCAACACAGUAACAGAGACACUUUCACAUAAAGGCAGCAACAGCCACCGUCAAAUGGUGUGGUUGGAGUCUUGUUCUUGGACUCGACUCGGAUCAAUAGUGGCCUCGAUUCGAAAUUUUCUUUAAUGACUUGGACUUGAAUUCUGGGGACUCGAGACUGGACUCAGACUAGAGGUUUAGUGAUUGGUGAGCGAAAUCUCUUCAAGAUGAAGACAUGCAUUCUUAUCUUACUGACUGUAGUACAUUCAGUCAUGGGACAGUCACAAAAAAACAACAUUCGUCAAAGUCCCUCUGAUCUGAUGAAGUUUCCAGGAG